rnacentral:rRNA from 1 species
GGAUUCUUUAGUACGGCGAGUGAACCGGGAAAAGCUCAAAUUUGUAAUCUGGCUGUCUUCGAUAGUCCGAGUUGUAAUCUAUAGACGUGUUUUCCGUGCUGGAUCGUAUCUAAGUCCCUUGGAACAGGGUAUCAAAGAGGGUGACAAUCCCGUGCUUGAUACGACGACCAGUGCUCUGUGAUACACGUUCUACGAGUCGAGUUGUUUGGGAAUGCAGCUCAAAAUGGGUGGUAAAUUCCAUCUAAAGCUAAAUAUUGGCGAGAGACCGAUAGCGAACAAGUACCGUGAGGGAAAGAUGAAAAGCACUUUGGAAAGAGAGUUAAACAGUACGUGAAAUUGUUGAAAGGGAAACGAUUGAAGUCAGUCGUGUUCUUCAGAUUCAGCUGGUUCUUCCAGUCUACUUCUGUUGAACGGGUCAACAUCAGUUUUGUCCGGUGGAUAAAGGUAGUAGGAAUGUGACUCCCCCGGGAGUGUUAUAGCCUAUUAUUGCAUACACUGGGUGAGACUGAGGACUGCAGCUCGCCUUUUGGCCGGUCUUCGGACACGUUCGAGCUUAGGAUGUUGACAUAAUGGCUUUAAACGACCCGUCUGAAA